ensembl:lncRNA
CUCUCUCUCUCUCUCUCGCUCACUCGCUAGCUAGCUGUGUAUGAAAAAACAGCAGUAGCUCUCUCUUCUGUCCUGCAGUAUCCCACACUCUUGCACACCUCCUCACUCCACCCCAUCCCUCACUCUCCCUCUCCUUCAGCACACCUCCUUCACUUCCUUCGGUUCUACUGUUAGGGAGCUGGGGCCGGAUUGAAGUUCAGACGUUUUUAUGAUUUAAUGCCCGGUCUAGGUGGGGGUAAUGAAGAAGGCUCCAUGCUGUCUACUCCUUAUGAGUUGAAAUCAGGUGAGGAAAUAAAGAACUGUCAGAGUCUUUAAAAGGAUAUUACCUUUACAAUAGGGAAACAGUGAAGCCGUUGUGGUCAGACAAAUGUCAGCGUGAUAUCAGACUCAUUAUUGCUGUCCAUCAUUCAUACAAUGAUAAUCCGCUUCACAGCGCAUGUGUCAGAUGGAAAGAAUGCUAAUCUGGAAGAGGUGCAGAGCUUGGGCUUUUUGGCAGCCAGUUUCCACUGCACACUAGUUUCCAUGUGGUGCCGCUCCAGAGGCCUGGAGAAGCCUGUUUAGGGAACAAAGGACAGGGUCCAGAUUGCAUUUGUAAAAGGUCAGACUCUACUGGACAACUGACCCACAACCUAAAAUCAUACUCCUCUGUCAAGCUGGAGCAGUGGCAGUCUACAUCCAGCAAAUGUUACCAUAUCAAUUAAAAUCCAAAAGUGCAUGGAGUGAGGGUGGACCAUAUGAAUCAGUAAGUCACUCAUGCCAUAUGAUCUCCAUCACCAGACCUUCACCCUUGAGUUGAGGUUUAUAACCCAAACAGUUGUUUAUUUAAAUCAUAUGUUAGGCUCUAAACUGUGUAUUGAGGUUCUUACUGAUUUGAUAACCAGGGAGUCAGUGAGGUAAUAUGAGCUUUCUAUGAUAAACUAGCUAUUUAGGUUAGUAAUAAAAACGUGAGGGGAGCGUGCUGUUAUAGGAAAAUCAUCAAUAACGGGGUUGAGUGAUGCAGCCUGAGGCAAAGUGGAGGUCUGUUACUACCCCAAAGUUGAUGAUUUUCCUAGUACAGCAUACCCCAUUGUGCUGUUAGAGAAAAUUAAUCGAGACAUUCUGACCAAUCACAAUAAAGAAUACAACAGAAUUAUGAUAUAACUGCUAGUAACAAAGAGAGAAACAUUUUUGCACAUCAAUACAAACAGUAGUCUUCCUUGAAAUCUGUUUUCCAACCUGAUAUUCCAAACCUGAUCAGGAAUAUGCUGAUGUGAUGCAAUGAAACCUUGAGCGGAGUCACUUGCUUACUCUCAUUCAGACCAGUGUAUGUUCUCAAUGCUCUCCAGAGAGAAAUUAGUUCUGCACACUCAAGUAUAAGAAGUUAGACUGGAAAAGCAGAUUGCCAAAAACAGUUAAAUUUACCACAGAGUUUUGUCCUUGGGGAAGAAAUAAGCAUAUUUAUUUGCCACUUAAAAUAGUAUACCAGUAGAUGAUACUUCAUAUAGUGGAGUAGUAUUUUGUUUUUUUGAGCAGAUAUGCAGUUUGGGAUGCAGCAUAUGUUUUGCUUGGGAAGUAUAUUGAUUGCUGCUCUGAGCCAGUUUGAAUUAAUUUCUCAUAUAGCAUAUACUGUAUAAUCUCUGUGAAGCUUUUACCAUUGUUGAACUAAAUUUCAGUGAUGUUCCAAUUCAUUACAAUCUAAAAAAUCAAAUCCAAAUUUCACAAUGUAGGCCCCUUGGUUUUCUAAAUCUGCAUUAUCAAAUUUGUUUUAUGCCUUCUUGGUUUCAUAUGACACAGUCUUAAAUACAGCCCAGUCUGCCUGUACAUUUUAGGCCUUAGGGGAAAUGGGUUAGUGUUAUCAUCUUGCUGUUAACACAUUGUCCUGUGCAUGGCGUAUGUGUGUGCCUGUGUGUUAUCACCUGUAAUGACACACCUCACCAGUGACUUAACGCCAAACCUUAGUCUCGUUCUCGUUCUUCCUCGUUUCCCCUUCCUCCUUAAUUUUGAUUGCUGACAAAGUAGUCCGAGAGGCUUCUCGGUCACCCGAGUUCAAAGAGAACUAUGCUUUUUAUUUAACUUCUGUUUGUUAAUGGCCUUGUGGGACAUCUCAGAAUUGUAUAUGGUGAGAUGCUAUAGUGUCUGUUAUGGUUGACAUAGGCAUGGUGAACACUUAUUACACCCGGGUGUCUCAGGCAGUUGGGAACCACCAUCGUUGGACUUCCUGGCCUGCACAGUUAAACUCUGCGCUUCUGCACCAGGUCCAUUUAUGCUGUGAGAGUUUGUUAAGAGAAAUGUUUUGCUUAGCUCAUCAGAAUUGUCCUAAUUAAAAUUUUUUUAUUUUCCUGUUUCAUUUGGAUGGGCUUUAUGACCAUUAACACAACAUUUACAGUGCUCUGAAAUCAGUUUGCUACAUAAUGCAUUUAGUAGUGCCCACAUAAACAAAAAUAGUAGCCACUGACUGGUGGUUUUUGGAAAUUCAGUCCUAAAUGAUCAUUUGAGAUAACAAAAAACAGUGAACAGGGAAAAAAAAUCUACAAGGUAUACUUUUGGAGACCUACAGUACUGUGGAAAAAUCUUAGACACCCUAUUUUAUAUUUUUUUGUACAAACUUUGUUAUAGAUUUUUUAUUUUAUGACUUCUAUAUUAUCGAGUCAGUAAAAAAACAUUUUAGAUUAGAUAGUAAAUGUUACAGAAAAAUAUUUGUAAGUCAGUAUAUAAAGCAACAUAUUACAUAACAGAACACUUUUCAGACAAAAAAAAAACAUAAUGAAGGCUGCUGCAAAAAUAAGAAGCAAGUGUGACAGUCAAAGUCUCCAGAAGAACUGUGUCUGGUUCUGCAUGAUGCUCAUUUUUUUGAGUAUGAGUAUUUCCUUAAAAACUGCACAAAUGGUUCUUGAGACUUUUUUUUUAAAGGAAAGGGUCAUCACGCCAAAUGUUUACUUUUUUUCAUUUAGUACUGUUUGCUGAUCUUUAUAGUAUUUCUUUUAUGUAAAAACAUUUCAUUUCAUUAUUUUUGAAGGCAUCUUUGCUCUAAAUCUGAAAACUGUAUUAUAUUCACUCACCUUAUAUUCAUGUAUAGUUCAGUGCCAUACCUGGACUAAUGAAGAUAAUUAUUAAAUAGCUUAAAAAGCCUCACACUGAGAUAAACGCAGACAUGCUUAACAUGACGAUAUCACUCUCAAAUUUACUCAUGUCUAGUUUCAGACAAUUCUUUCUUACAAGUCAUACUGCAUAUAUUUCAUAUGUGGUAAUGUCAUUGCACUAUGACUCAUUUGUGUGUCUGACUCUCUCCUUCUCUCUUCGCACUCUCACUCUCCCUUUUUGUGUGUGUUUAUGUGAAUUUUAUCUGGAAAGCGUUAUGACUUGCCAAGAGAACACUCAUCCUUCUUUGAGACAGUCAACACAUGGUAUAAAAUUUUGGAAUUAAGAUGUUGAAUACCUUACAACAGAUCAGACUUCGGUUUCGAGAUGAUGAUGUCACUAUGGCCCCGGUGUCUAGAAAGAUUAGUCAUACUGUCUUUUAGACUCAGUGAUAUCAUCACUGUUUUGUGAAUCAUUCGCUGUAUCUGCACUUUCAGAUACUUGGCAAGUGUGAGAGAAGGAAUGCUUUAUUUUGAGGUGAUUAUUGGAACUGUGUGAUUGUUAUCGUGGAACUGCAGGACUAUACGAGUUCUGCGUGUUUAUAUACUUUGUAUGAUUUUACAAAACUGUGAGAUCUUGUGCACAAGUGUAUGCAUGCGUAAUCUGUUGGUUGACCUACACAUAGUUAGGCCCAGGCACACAGUGCUCCUGAUAGGUUUUCCUGUGAUUAGAAAAGCAGUUGCAGGCGUCCGCCAGCGGAAAGAGGUGGUGUUGACUCAGGGCCUCAUGGGGACAUUCUUGUUUUUGUAUGGUGUUCAGGGGCUGGGCAGCUGGAGUGACAGAAAUUCACUCAGCUUUUUUUUUUCACUGUCCACUGCUUUAUUUGGGCUGUGCAGGGCCAUCACUGCCAGAGCAAACCUCUCACUUAAGCGUGCAAGGCCUAACUCAAGGAUAAACACUCUUUUCUCCAAUCACAAUAUGUGCUGCCUGGUGCUGCUUAUUUUGAAUUGAGAUCACGUUCAAAUUUCACACCAUUUAACAUUUCAAAGCAUGAUCAAAUCAUUGAGUGCAUUUAUUUCCUUUUAUUUCUUCUUCUUUUUUUUCCUCAGCUUCAAAAUGUUCUCACUCAUCUCUGAACCCAAUGGGAUGAGAAAAAGUAAUUUGUCUGAACUUUUCAUUAACCACCUCCCUCUUAAGUAAAUUGAUUAGAUUUUUUUUUCAUCUUUGAUAUCAGUUAGACAUUUACAGUCCCCAAAAGUUUACACAAGUGAAUUGAGUAGGUUCCAUCUUUGACUGUGGGCCCACAUCCAACAUACAUAUUAUUCUAACAUCCGUGCUGCCAUGAGACAGUGCCUGCACUGUGUUCAGAGAUGCCAUCCAUGGCUCUCCCCAUUUAAGGUCUGUGGUAAGUCUGAGCAGUCUCACGCCAUAUGUGUAACUGGCAGCAAUUCUGGGACAAUGUCUUAUUUUUUAGUGAUCAUUUGUUGUAGUGUGAACAUCUUCAUAUGUAGGUUUUUCCCCCGGAAAGAUAGAAUAGAUGGAUGGAUGGCUGGAUGGAUUUUAUCUAUUCACAAGUGCACAAUGGAAGGCAAAACAGACACGUCCAUUCACAUACACAUUUAUUAAAAUGAUUACCUUUCAUGGAGUAAUGUUGCUUCCUGAUCCAACAAAAGAGAACACAUUACUAGCCUACAUUAGAAGAUCUGAUUUCCCACAAAAAGAGGAGCCUUUACUAUGUACAGUAUGUUUGUCGGUCCCUACAGAAUUUUUCGAUUUUAUGAUCACGGACAUUAACUUAAACCAAGCAAAUUCUGCAAUAUUUAGAGGAGCUUACAAUUUUUCAAAAUUACAGCAGAUUUGGGCCAAGACGCGUCAUGUGACACCACAACGCACAUUCAGCCAAAGCCCACUUCAAUUCACAUGCGUCGAGCACAAGUACAGCUAAAAGGUCUCAUUUACCAACAAAUAUCACUGCAAAAUAUUGUGCAAAACAGUUUUGUGCAAUUUUUCCAAUUGAAGUAGUUUUCAGAUUAAAAAAGCAUAAAAACUCAGAAGUUGCAUCAUAAAUUUUGAAAAAAGCAACAGCAAAAUCAAGCAUUUUUGGCCGCGACAUUCACAAAAAAAUCCACGAAAUCCUGUACGCACUGGUUUGUGUAGUCAACCCAGUCCAUGGAGUAUUGAUGUAGGGAGCUAUUAGCAAUUCAGUAAUUGUACUACUUUACUGUACUUAAAUACUAUUUUGGAAGAUUUGUACUCUCCUCAAGUAUUAUUGAACCUUGAACUCUUAAGUAAAUUUACAAGAAAAAAACAUUUUUACUCCUUAGAUUUUCAUUUUGACCUUCAAAAAACUUGUUAAAAUUCAUAAAUGCAUGAGAUAUUUUUCUUGUCCAGCUCGUUGGUUCUUGCCUAUUUAAAUUUUAUUAACACAUCCAAUUACAUUCAAAUCAGAGUCACAUGAAACUGUUCUAAUGGGCCUUUGAGCCAGUGCUGUCUUUUGCUGGAUGUAUCACUGAAAUAUACAGGAUGACAUGGUUCCUUUCCUCCCAUGUACAAACGAAAUAAAAAAAUUGCCAUCAAAUCUAAAGACAUAUGCUAAGGUACAGUGCAUCCGGAAAGUAUUCACAGCGCUCCACUUUUUCCAUAUUUUGUUAUGUUACAGCCUUAUUCCAAAAUGGAUUAAAUUCAUUAUUUUCCUCAAAAUUCUACAAACAAUACCCCAUAAUGACAAGAUGAAAGAAGUUUGUUUGAAAUCUUUGCAAAUUUAUAAAAAAAUAAAAAACAAAAAAAGCACAUGUACAUAAGUAUUCACAGCCUUUGCUCAAUACUUUGUUGAAGCCCCUUUGGCACCAAUUACAGCAUCAAGUCUUUUGAGUAUGAUGCUACAAGCUUGGCACACCUAUUUUUGGGCAGUUUCUCCCAUUCUUCUUUGCAGGACGUCUCAAGCUCUAUCAGGUUGGAUGGGGAGCGUCGGUGCACAGCCAUUUUCAGAUCUCUCCAGAGAUGUUCAAUCGGGUUCAAGUCUGGGCUCUGGCUGGGACACUCAAGGACAUUCACAGAGUUGUCCUGUAGCCACUGCUUUGUUAUCUUGGCUGUGUGCUUAGGGUCAUUGUCCUGUUGGAAGAUGAACCUUCACCCCAGUCUGAGGUCCAGAGCAUUCUGGAGCAGGUUUUCAUCAAGGAUGUCUCUGUACAUUGCUGCAUUCAUCUUUCCCUCGAUCCUGACUAGUCUCCCAGUUCCUGCCACUGAAAAACAUCCCCACAGCAUGAUGCUGCCACCACCAUGCUUCACUGUAGGGAUGGUAUUGUCCAGGUGAUGACUGGUGCCUGGUUUCCUCCAGACAUGACGUUUGCCUUUCAGGCCAGAGUUCAAUCUUUGUUUCAUCAGACCAGAGAAUUUUGUUUCUCAUGGUCUGAGAAACAAACCAGGCGGGCUGUCAUGUGCCUUUUACUGAGGAGUGGCUUCCGUCUGGCCACUCUACCAUACAGGCCUGAUUGGUGGAGUGCCGCAGAGAUGGUUGUUCUUCUGGAAGGUUCUUCUCUCUCCACAGAGACACGCUAGAGCUCUGUCAGCGUGACCAUCGGGUUCUUGGUCACCUCCCUGACCAAGGCCCUUCUCACCCGAUCGCUCAGUUUGGCCGGGCAGCCAGCUCUAGGAAGAGUCCUGCUGUUUCCAAACUUCUUCCGUUUACGGAUGAUGGAGGCCACUGUUCUCAUUGGGAUCUUCAGUGCUGCAGAAAUGUUUCUGUACCCUUCCCCAGAUCUGUGCCUCGAUACAAUCCUGACUCAGAGGUCUACAGACAAUUCCUUGGACUUCAUGGCUUGGUUUGUGCUCUGACAUGCAUUGUUAACUGUGGGACUUUAUAUAGAUAGGUGUGUGCCUUUCCAAAUCAUGUCCAAUCAACUGAAUUUACCACAGGUAGACUCCAAUCAAGUUGUAGAAACAUCUCAAGGAUGAUCAGUGGAAACAGGAUGCACCUGAGCUCAAUUUUGAGUGUCAUGGCAAAGGCUGUGAAUACUUAUGUACAUGUGCUUUUUUUGUUUUUUUAUUUUUAAUAAAUUUGCAAAGAUUUCAAACAAACUUCUUUCACGUUGUCAUUAUGGGGUAUUGUUUGUAGAAUUUUGAGGAAAUACAUGCAUGGUACGCUGAUUGGCAUGUCUAAAGUGUCCGUAGUGUAUGAAUGGGUGUGUGAAUGUGUAUGUGAUUGUGCCCUGGCACCCUGUCCAGGGUGUACCCCGCCUUGUGCCCGAGGCUCCCUGGGAUUGGCUCCAGGUUCCUCCGUGACCCUGAAGAAGGAGUAAGCGGUAGAAGAUAGAUGGAUGGAUGGAUGUAUAUACUGUGUAUAUAUAGUGUAUAUACCCCAUGAGCCUGCACCCACUAUAGCCUGUUAAUGGCUAACAGGAGUGGAACUCAGUGUGAUCUUCUGUUGUUGUGGCCUAUCUGUCUUAAGGUUUGGCGUAUAGACAUGCUCUUCUCCUUAUCAUGGUUGAAAAGAGUUGUUACUGUAGCCUUGCUGUUAGCUGUUAACUGAAACCAGUCUGGCCAUUCUCUUCUGACCUCUCUCCUCAACAAGUCAUUUCCACCUGCUCACUGGAUGUUUGCUGUUUUUUCACAUCAUUCUCUGUAAACUCUAUAGACUGUUGUGCAUGAAAAUCCCAAGAGAUCGGAAGUAACUGUGCCAUGGAUUGGGAGAUUACUUGCUUUCUCUGUAGUUGUAGGGUACAGAUGUUUUAUUGGACAGGCAGCCCCUUUGUAAGGCAUACAUAAAAGUUCAUGUUAGAAAAGGAAGAGAUGGGCCAUUCACCACAACAGAGAGGCCAGAGAGAGUGCCUUAGUUGACUCUGGGCUAAGAGACUGGAUCUAUGGAAGGUUUCUAUUGGGUCACAAGUUGAUGUUAGAGUUGCCUGAUGAGGGUGUCCAAUGUUGAAAGCAGUUAAACACCUGAGGGCCCCAGGUUACAUAACUAAUGAUGUGUCAUAGUGUAAAAUCCAGUUUUAACACAGUUUUGACAUUGUGUUGCAAUGGUGAAUAACGGUAGUCUGUAAAAGUACACUUCGAGUGGACACAGGGACAUCACAACAUAGAGAAGUGGAAAUUGGACAGACUUUCUUGUUGUUCGUUUUUGCAUCAUGCUGAUAGAAAUGGAAGCAAAUAAAACAUAUCCAGAGAGCCAUUCUUUUUGGAGUGAAUAGUACAGGCAGUGUAUGUGAUGGUGUUUAGGUAUAUCAUAACAGUGUUCUUCCCUUCAUGGCUACAGUACAUAUCUACACGUACUUGAUAAUGCACCAUGUAACAAGCACUACACUGAAUGUUUCCAGGAAUAUGACAGCGAGUUUUCAUUCCUUCAUUGGCUUGUACUGUUCAUCACAUUUCAUACAGUAAAUCAAAAUGAUGCAGCUUUAUUUAGAAAAGGAAAUUAAAGGAGUCAUUGUGACCUGAAUGGCAUACACAUGGAAUGAAUGUGUAAAAAAUAAAUAAAUAAAUAAUAAAAAAAAAAUUCCUGAUUCUGGUGUUGUGCUUGUUUUAUUCCAUACCUUGCUCAGCCCCAUGAGACAUUUAAAGCACAAGCUGAGCAAACCUUUCCUUUGAAUCCAAGCGCACUUUCUGCUCAGUGGGACACACUACCUCAAGUGUGGGCCACAGCUGUGAAGCUCAUCAUGAACUGCAGAUUGGUAAUGUUUUACUGUAAUUCACCUCAUGAUAAUGAAGCUGCCCACAUGUGAGGGGAGAGACCAACGGCCACCAUCUGGGAGUGUGUUCCACAGGGAUGAAGCAGAGAACAGCUGGACAGGGCCCCUGAUUUAUUUCACCUCAUUCUACUUAGAAUUGCCUCUGCCCGUGUUUUCUCAACCAACCAUUGAGUGGUACGAGAGCUAGUGUGUUCACACACACACACACACAAGCCAUUGCACCUUUGUCACACAUUUAACUACUUUCACUCACAGAUGUUGC